UGCAAGUCGAGCGAGACCUUCGGGUCUAGCGGCGGACGGGUUAGUAACGCGUGGGAACGUGCCCUUCUCUGCGGAAUAGCCACUGGAAACGGUGAGUAAUACCGCAUACGCCCUUCGGGGGAAAGAUUUAUCGGAGAAGGAUCGGCCCGCGUUAGAUUAGAUAGUUGGUGGGGUAAUGGCCUACCAAGUCUACGAUCUAUAGCUGGUUUUAGAGGAUGAUCAGCAACACUGGGACUGAGACACGGCCCAGACUCCUACGGGAGGCAGCAGUGGGGAAUCUUAGACAAUGGGCGCAAGCCUGAUCUAGCCAUGCCGCGUGUGUGAUGAAGGUCUUAGGAUCGUAAAGCACUUUCGCCAGGGAUGAUAAUGACAGUACCUGGUAAAGAAACCCCGGCUAACUCCGUGCCAGCAGCCGCGGUAAUACGGAGGGGGUUAGCGUUGUUCGGAAUUACUGGGCGUAAAGCGUACGUAGGCGGAUCAGAAAGUUGGGGGUGAAAUCCCGGGGCUCAACCCCGGAACUGCCUCCAAAACUCCUGGUCUUGAGUUCGAGAGAGGUGAGUGGAAUUCCAAGUGUAGAGGUGAAAUUCGUAGAUAUUUGGAGGAACACCA
rnacentral:rRNA from 1 species